GAGAAAGAGUAAUCUCUAGGGAAUCAUCACAGAUCCUGUUAUUUUGUGCUCACCAUGGAGAGAACUAAUGGAACAAAGAAAUCAGACAAAGGGACAAAUUACGCGCACUUACGCUGAGAGUGUUUAUUGCAUGUGAAAUAUAAUUACGCUGAUUUAAAACGUUCACUGCUUAAAUGGGCAUGAGCUUGCUGGAGUAAGGGCCAACCCCUUAAUGGAGAACGGGGCUUGUGCUAAAUUCCAAGGUGGCACGGGAAAUUGGGCCGUGCACAAGGGUGGCCUCAUUUCUCACCCUGGUGGACCACUCUGUGAAGCCGUCCCUUUUUUGGUGAAAAUCGAAAUCCCUCAAUUGGAGAGUCUAUCACUGAGAUAACAAGUUAACUAGCGAAGACUUAAUCCUCUUAUGGCUGUAGGGGAAUAAUAUAAAGAAGUUCAUUCUCCUUAGCAUAUGACACCCCUCAUUGUCAUAAUUCCUAGUGAGGGUCUCUUCCAGCUUAUUUCCUGUUCUUCAGCAGCAGUGAACAAGCUCGCUCUCUCUCUCUGUCUCAGAUGACCGACUUGGCGUGUCCGCCCGAAGCGACUUUGUGCGUCCAAGCAACCUCUCCACGGACAUGAUUUUGCAGCUGUGAGGGGGUGGGGCCAUUUCUGAGGCCCAGUCUCCAUGUAGUUUUCACUUCCUUGUUUCACAUUUGCUGUUCAAGGUACGUUGUCUCUUGCCCUGAGACGCACCAUGGAAGCGCCUGUCUGCUCCGACUUGGAUGGGACCUUUAGACGAUUAUUUAAACAUAUAUGAGGACAGAAAAAACACGAAACCCACAGGACAGCCAGUCUCCUAAAGCUGUAGACCAUGCCUUUGAGAAACAGUGAGACAUCAGUCAACGUGGUACAUUUGUACAUGGAUAGAGAAAGUCUGGAAUAAAUUAGCAGCAUCAAUAACUUCUGGCAAAGGGAUGAGAUAAGCACAUGAAGAGAUACUUCAAAUUUUUGUUCUACUUACUUCUGUGUAGUUUGGAUUUUUAAAAAAAACUUAAAAAAAAUCUCCAUGCAGUCCUUAUGUUAUUAAAAACAAACAAAUGGAAGCAAGGAAAUAAAAGGAUGAAAAUUCCACACUUUUUCAUUAAAGUAAACAUGAGGAAAUUUGGAGAAAUUUUAGAGUGAUACAAGACAAUAGUUUAAGAAAUGACUAUGUUUUGAAUUGGCACCGACAUCAGUUUUUUGUUUCUAAAGUGCAGCUCUGAGGAUUAAAAAAAUAAACAACUUGCUGUUCAUAGCAGCCGCAGUUUAUUUGGAAAAAAAGAUCUAAAAAUAUAGCUAAUUAGUAAGUUAUUUAUAGCAUAUUAAGAUGAGUAGAAGAAAUGAUUAAUUUCUGUAAUAAUAUUUUGGUUGUGACUAUCAGAACAUCAAGUGGCUUAACUGAAACAGCAAAAGAAAAAUUCCACAAAUGAGAACAUUUUAGAACUAAAGGAAAUUAGUUGCAAGUAAAGGUUUGACUGUGUUCAGACAGUUGUAUGUUUUCCAGUGUGUGCUUGGAUAAAGUAAUGCACGUGAAAACCAACAACAUGACAGUGGGAUUGUAUCAUUUUCUUAACAGUUUUAUCUAAUGUUGUCACGUUUUGGCAUUUUAAUUUUAUUAUUUAAUUAUUUUUUAAUUUUUAAUCUUUAUUUUUGAGAGAGACAGACAGAGCGAGAGAGAGGGAGAGGCAGUGUGAGUGGGGGAGAAACAGAGAGAGGGAAACACAGAAUCUGAAGCAGGCUCCAGGCUCUGAGCUGUCAGCACAGAGUCCGACACUGAGCUCGAACUCGCAAACCGCGAGUUCAUGACCUGAGUCAAAGUCCAAUGCUUAACCGACUGAGCCACCCAGGAGCCCCUGGAAUUUAGCAUUUUUUAAAUACAUGAAAAAUUUAAGAAUUUGCAUUUAUUUUUAUGUUGCUUAUUUUUGUCUUACUUUUGUAAUCAAAUAACUUAUACUAAAAUUAACACAUAAGAAUUGAGGAUAAAAUUAUCUCACAUGCUUUGUCUUUAUUCUUUUUCUUUUAUUGUCUUAAUUUUUGUUCUAAUUUUUCACUUUGUUUUUAUGUUUUCAAGCCACGCUUUUCUCUUUUUGUCCUUUUCUUUAUGCUACUUCUAGUAAUUAUACUUUUUAAAAAGUGAGAUGGAUGAUUUUGGGGAUGAGUAAAACAUUCCAAUUUGGGAUUCGAUUCCAAAUUUCCAAUGAACGUGUGUAGAAAAAUAUUCAGGUUAUUUUUUCAGUUUGAAUACAGUAAUCUAUGUGGAAACCUAAUGGGGACAGAUGCUCUGAAAAAUGGUUACAUUUACAUUCAAGAUUAGAGUCUCCUGAAGAAUAGGAAAUAAAAGAUCUUUGUGAAGCAUUUCAAAAUCAAAGACAAAGCAGAAAUCAUGCAAUUAGAUAUAGGAAAGCAUAUGAAGAUGUUCAAGUUCAAUAAUACAGUCUGGUUAAAAUUAAAGAGAAGGAAAGUAUGAUCAAUAAAGCUUAAGUAUAUAAUUCAGCCAUCAAUUUCUAUCUUGUUUCCAAAUUUCAAAUUGCUAAUAAAAUUAUUAUGAUAUCAUUAUCACAAUGUUAAGUAAUUACAAACCCCACAAAUUAUAUAUAAAAAUGAUUAUUAAAAUAUGUAAUAAUAAAGUCAUUAUUCUUGUGUAUAGGUAAAAUAUAAUGAUUGCUUUUUAAAUUCAGGGUAUAAUAAAUGUCAUGGUGUGAUCAAUGAUAGUACAGGAUCAAAGUUUGAGAUGAGGUCAAUAAAACCACAAACAACCUUACAUUAUUUUCAGUGGAUUUCUACACACGAUGACAAAACAGCUGUGCUUCAAGCCUGCCUUUACAACAAAUUAUGAAUAGGCAUGAAAACAAUGACAAUUACUGUAGCUAUAAAAGGAUCCAUUGCCCAUAGAUGUUUAAAUUGUUCCAUAUCACUUAGGUUGAUAUAUAAAAUCUCGUGUUAUCAAGAGGGCAGUAAAAUUAGCUCUACUAUCAUAGAUGAGUUAAUACUUGGAAUGUUUAAAUGAUGUGCCCAAGUCAAAUAACCAGCUAUUAAAUAAAGAAGAAAGGGCAUGUAAGUCUACUCCAUGAGGCAACUGAGGAGAUAAGAUAUUGCAUAAGCCGUAAAGUUUGGAGGCAUCUCUAACUUUUAAUAAAUGUUAAAUAAAAGAAAUAUAUGCAAAACGGUUAAUAACCAAAUGAGAUUGAAAGGCUCAUAAUGAAAACCAGCUACUCUGUUUUCUACCUUCCCCACCCCUUUUGACACCCCUUCCCUGACCACUUCCUGCUCCAGGUACCGUUCCCCAAAAGCAACUACUUUUAAUUAUUUAGCUGUUUCUUCUGUUAGUUACACUAAGGCUCAACAGUAUAAAAAAAACAAGUAACCGAAAUAAUGCAUAUAGCAACCAACUCUAUUACCAAGUCUUAAAUGUUUCAGAAACACAGAAACUUAGUGCCAUCAGUGAGAAUAUCAAUGGUCAUUUUAUAGAAGUGCUAAUCAAUAGAUUUUUGCGAGAGGAAAUGAUGGACAACAGACCUUUUUUGUAUAUAGGAUUUUGUGGUCAGCUCUUUUUAUUUUCACUGAAGACAAAAGUCAUCUCUAUAAUAUCAUGGUAUUCAGAGAGAAUUAUGUUGGCGUAUGCUUUGAGUAGGAUGGUCUCAACAGCAAAGUAGCAUCUGCCCAAUAAAAUGUUCCCUUGAAGCAUCCUUUGGCAAUCUUUGUCUUGGCAAAGGCAGUCCUCUGGUCAUGUUACCUGGCGUUGGUCUUUUGAGGACAACAGAGUUAGUGGAUGCAGGCUCUGAACCCAGCCUUUGUACAUGGCUCGUGAUGGGCAGGGACUGGAUGAAAUCUGUUCACAGAGAGCUGUCAGUUGUCCAGUGGGUACCUAUGGGAUCUAUCAAGCAUCACAGCAAAUUCUGCCUUAUACUGUCAAUGCUUUACGUUAUCUCCAAAAUUGCAUCUUUCUUUAACUAGUAUCUGGUGGGAUAGAGAUAGCCUUUCAGAGGCUAGGUGUUAUCUCCUAUAAGCUGUCGUAUUUUUAUUGCUUGCCUUGAAAUCUUAAGGGGCAAGAAGUAUGAAGAAGCCGUCAUUUAUUAUUUUUAUGACAAUAUAUUAAACUGGAUUAUUAAUGCCCAUCUUAUUUUCAUAAUCAUAUGCUAAAAAAUGGAUUGUCAAGGUGUAGAUACACCCAGAGAUCAUGGAAUUUAAAAAAAAGGAGAUUCCUUCACCUCAGAUGCUACUAUUGAAGUGUCCAACUAUUUCCUUCCCUGUACUGAAGUGGAACAAGGAAAGCUAGACCUGCUUAAAUGAUGCUAUAAAGACUGCUUAAGUAAUUGGAUACAUUGUCAGUGGCUGUCAGGAAGAAGGUCGUAGAAUACCACACUCAGUGGCUCUUUAUCUGGGUUCAGCGAUAAAUGCCAGCUCAGUUCACUCAGUCAGCUUGCCUCCCUAAUGAUAUGCUGAAGCAUUAAAAAUGGAUUUCUUCUUUGUCAAUAGUACAUCAUGUAUAUCUAAAAUGAGUGGCAGUUUUCCACUCUAAUUUGGUCCUUAGAAUUUUCUUUUUCUUUCUCUCUCUCUCUCUUUUUUUUUUAGAAAGUUGGUACAUGAACUUGGUGUGUGACACAGCUAUAGCUCUACAGAUUUUCAGUUCUGAAAAGUAGAGGGGUAUCACAGAAAGAUGAGUAGCCAGAAUCUUUGGUGUAUGUGCCGCCCAAGCGAGCCCAGGAAGAGCUGUUUACACGCUAUUUCUGUAACGCAUGGCCAGGGUUAAACCAGGUCCACAAAAAUGUACUUUUCAUCAUGAUAACUUGUGAAUACGAAAAAUUACUUGAAGGCAUUUUUUUUCCCCCUUCUACCUUGGAAGAGCAAAGGGCUAAUACGCCAUUCUCAUUGUUCUUCCUGGGAGUGCUGUACAUCUGGGUCGGACUUCCUAAUGAAAUGGUGGCCUUUCUGAUGAGUCCAGCUGGUCAGUGACAUGGCGUGGCCCUGUUUUGAGAUGAACGCAGCGUGGAGUCAAGGGAGAGAGACGGUCGGCGCGUCCUUGAAGGCUGGGCCGUGGGGAAGAAGGCCUCACAGAACAAUUGGCCAAGGCGUGGCCCAAUGAUUAGCAGGUGCUGCCCUCUCUGCCCUUGGCUGUGUUUCCUGGCCAGCGAAGAAGCUUGUAUCAACACGCUUGGAACGGAUGAAGACAUGGUUGUUUCUCAAUUGUUUGACUUCUAACCUUCCUGGGUGACCUGCAUGUCACUAGCUGAGAGGCCACAGCAGAGCCCGGAUGGGGCCUCCCGGCUUCUAGGGUGGAUUGCCAACUAACGAAUAAGGCCAUUUGAUGCCGGUCUCGAGGUUAGAAGUCAACAGUCAGGAUUUUCACAACAUCAUCUCUUAAAGACGUUACUAAGUGGACACACAUCAUCCUUACAACUCCUGGAACUCAGAGAGGAAACCAUCUGACUUUGGAGCUGUUGCCAAUGAUGGCUUCAACGGGAUUUUCGUAAUAUUCGAGUAGAGUAACACCAGAAAUUUUUACAGAUCCUCCAAAUCUUCGAAAGGCAUUUAAGUAGUUGUGGCUACAUUAAAUCUUCUUGAAGAAGUAAGUAUCUUUUAAAGUAUGUCAUUGAAUUGGGAUAUGGGCACGGACACAGCUGAUGCUAUAAGUUUCUCUUCAGAAGUAAAUUAGUGUCAUUUCUUAUGGUUCAUUGUCAUGGAGGCAGCGGUGGCAGUAGAAGUUCUGGAAAGCCAUCAAAUUUACUCACUGGUCGCAUCCACAGGACCUGCACUUUGUUAAACAAUGCGCAUAGAAUGAUGAGCAAGUCAGGUAUGUUUCCUGCUCUCCAGUGGAGAUGAUAUGUUACUGUUGAAGAGAAUUAGGUGAAGCAAGAACACGGGCCAGUGCAUGGCUGUAUACACAUUUGCUUGUAGAGCUCUUGUCAGAUUUUGUAUGGGCACAGUUUUUGCUACUUAGGACAGGGUUUGAUAAUGUCAGGGGAAUUGCAGUUUGGUCGGGGCGGGGGAGGGAUUACAUUUUCGAGACAAUAUAGUAGCUCUGUGAUAUGUGUGAGGUACAUGGCUCAUAUUGAUAUUUUGUGUUCUAAGUAUAGAGAGAGGGAUCUGUAUGGACUUGUUGAAGUUUGAAGCUUAAUAUCAGACCAGAAAGUUGGAGGGCAUGGCCCAAUAAAUUAUCUUUCGUUACAUAGCAGGUGUCUCAGCACUUUGUGUAUUGCCAAUCUUGGGUGAGAAGUCACUGAAGACUAUAGGACCAUGAAAUAAAGGCCAUGGCUACUCUUGGCAACAGGGACCCCUGGGAGUAGAUUUGUUGGUGUAUUCUGGGAGAAGAUGCACCCCUGUUGGUGUCCCAGGAACUGCCAAGAAACCAUGUUUCCACUGGUAGGCAAGUUCAAAGGGUGAACUUUAAUUAGGGGAGUCGUCACCACCUGAGGCAUUUUUCAUAAAUCGACCUGGCUUCGUAGAAUUCUGUGAACUCCUUAACAGGCAAGAAUCCUUCCUAAGGCUCUUUGGGACAUUGCCCUUGAGUCGAAGAGAAAAAGGUUAUAAGUGCCUCUACCAAUAUUCCAAGACCAAGGUAGUAUUGCUGAUAGAACUAUGGUCCUGUACAAAACUACAUAAACAUUAUUGUGACACUUUAUGCACCAUUUUUUUAAAAAGGAUAUUUAAAUUUGUUCUAUUUAUGAGUUAAUGAAUUUGUUCUAUUCACUGUUAGCCUAUUACUUAUACCUACUCUUUAGGAGGCUUGUAUAAAGAUAGCUGAUAGAUUCAUAAAGUUUUUAAAAUACUGUGUAUUAUUGGUUGUUGAAUAUAAUCUCCAGGGAACCUUGGUUUAUAAGCUUAUGAGUUACAUGAGACAGCGCAUGCUACUUAAGUAGUCAAUUUGUAUUCUUUGAUGAGAAUGAUUUUUGACUUUGAUGGCUUGACAUAUAAAUAGGAGGAGGUAUUAUUAUUAAUCCUUUCCCCAUAAGGAUCCUUCUAUCUGAUUGAGUUCAAUAAUGUUCCAUGAAAUUAACUCAUCUUAGAGCUAUGGAGAGAGCAGAAAGAAGUAGAAAACUAGUGAGAUCACAAGUAUGCAGCUAAUCACGAAUCUUCUUUGGUAACCAGUUAGAACUCAAAAAGGAUAGCAUCAUAAGAAACGAAAGAGCAUCUGGUAACUGGAAAUCUAAUAUUAGCCAUUUCUCAGGAGAGUUGCUAAAUUUAACUGGUGAGCUAAGGAGUGAAUUUGAAUAUAUGUAUCUAGUAUUUCUUGUGGUCAAUAGUACUUUUAGGAAGCGAGUGACACCUAUGAUACUUAACAGUUAUAAGAAAAACCAAAUACGCAUCUUGAGUCGAAGUGUAAUAUAUUUACAUUGAGAUGUAGUUACUCAGAUUUUAAAUCUUCCUAGAAACCAAUCAGAGAAUGGUCAAUUUAGGCAUGCCUUGAAAGGAAUAUUAAAUUGAAUUGGGAACUUAGCGUACCUUUUUUGAGAGACACUAACAGAAAAUUCUCUGUUAUUAUUAGAAGUUGAUUUCCCUUAAGGUAACCUCUCGAGUUUUUAAUGUGUAUGAGUAUGAUUUGCAUCAAUUUACUUUCAUGAAUCUGGAUUUUCUGUCAAAGCAGCCAUCAAAACAAAAUGAAUCAUCUCUCUUAUUUAGCCAGAAGGUAACUUUUGCCACUUAUUUUUUUUGGCUCAUAACUCUGAGCCAGAUAACAUUGACCUUGACCACUAUAAGUUCAAUGACUAUGGUCGGUGCAUAUAAGGCUUGCUUCACAUAAAUAUUGAUGCCAUGUAGUGGAACGUGCUUACCUGGUUUACCUAAAUGUUUAAUAUAAAUAGGGACCCAUAUGCCAGUUUUCGUAGAGAUAGUAUAGUGCAGUGAUUAAGAGCAUGGGCUUUGGAUCAGAUCUAUCUAUCUAUCUAUUUUUACUUUGUGGAAUUUAUUUAUUUUUUAAAAUUCCAGUCCAAUUAACACACAGUGUCAUGUUAGUUUCAGAUGUACAAUAUAUACAAUGAAAUGUUACUCAGCCAUAAAAUAAUAAUGAAAUCCGACCAUUUGGAUCACACACAUUUAAACCUGAAUCACAUUUCUACCACUUACCAACUGAAUGACUUAGGGGAAAUUAUUUAACUUCUAAGUCAUAGUUAGACCCAUAUUACAGAGAGCUGUCAGUAGGAUUGAAUAAAAUGUCUACAUAGAACUUGGCAUAGAAACUGGCACACAAGAAAGUUAUCAUCUGCUGAAUAUACUUGGAUUGGAUCAUUCUUAUUAAAACUCUAAUGUGGUCAUAUCCACAUGGCAUUUUAUAGGGCUAACAAAGAAAUUUUUUGAUAAGUGACUAAAAUUAUAUAUAUAUUGUAUGUAUAUAAUAUAUAUUAUAUAUAUCAGCUAAUCUCAGUUAAUUUAGGAAUAAAUAUAUUUAUAAAAAUGUAUUUGGAUGAUAUGUGUAUUAUUACAAAAUAUUUAUUAUGGUGUAUUUCUCUUGUCAGUAAAGCUCUUAAAAAUGAGCCCAAAGUUAUUUAGUUAUUUAUUUUUUAUGUUAGUAUGAAUUCAUCCUUUGUCCCUAAAUCCAGUUCUGUUUUUCCAACUUGCAUUUCCUAGUUAGGCUUCUCACUGUGAUUUACUCCAGACUGAUUGUUUCCGGUGUCAGUACUGAUCUAACCACUGGGAGGUCUCAGCCUUAUUGUUCUGAGUUUAGACUUCAAAUGAUAGAUAGAUCUCUGCUCAGCCACAUGGAGCUCAUCAACUGACUUCUUUCCCUAUUUGUUUUAGCAAAAGUCUUUGUGUGGAGCUGCCAGGGUGGCUCAGUUGGUUAAAUGUCUUACUCUUGAUUUCGGCUCAGGUCAUGAUCUUACCGUUUGUGGGAUUGAGCCCUGUGUCAGGCUGUGUGUGCUGACAGCAUGGAGACUGCUUGGUAUUCUCUCUCUCUCUCUCUCUCUCUC